rnacentral:rRNA from 1 species
UGGGGAAUAUUGGACAAUGGGGGGAACCCUGAUCCAGCAAUGCCGCGUGUGUGAAGAAGGCCUGAGGGUUGUAAAGCACUUUCAGAGGGGAGGAGGACUAUUAGGUUAAGAGCUAGAUAGUUGGACGUUACCCUCAGAAGCAGCACCGGCUAACUCCGUGCCAGCAGCCGCGGUAAUACGGGGGGUGCAAGCGUUAAUCGGAAUUACUGGGCGUAAAGCGUGCGCAGGCGGCUCCUUAAGUCAGAUGUGAAAUCCCCGGGCUUAACCUGGGAACUGCGUUUGAAACUGAGGGGCUAGAGUGUGGAAGAGGGGGGUGAAUUCCAGGUGUAGCGGUGAAAUGCGUAGAUAUCAAGAGGAACACCUGAGGUGAAGACGGGUUGCUGGGCUGACACUGACGCUGAGGCGCGAAAGCCAGGGGAGCAAACGGGAUUAGAUACCCCCGUAGUCCCUGAGCGGGCUGGCAAGGCGCAU